GAUGAACGCUGGCGGCGUGCCUAAUACAUGCGAGUCGAGCGAACAGACGAGGAGCUUGCUCCUUUGACGUUAGCGGCGGACGGGUGAGUAACACGUAGGUAACCUACCUAUAAGACUGGGAUAACUUCGGGAAACCGGAGCUAAUACCGGAUAAUAUUUCGAACCGCAUGGUUCGAUAGUGAAAGAUGGCUUUGCUAUCACUUAUAGAUGGACCUGCGCCGUAUUAGCUAGUUGGUAAGGUAACGGCUUACCAAGGCAACGAUCCGUAGCCGACCUGAGAGGGUGAUCGGCCACACUGGAACUGAGACACGGUCCAGACUCCUACGGGAGGCAGCAGUAGGGAAUCUUCCGCAAUGGGCGAAAGCCUGACGGAGCAACGCCGCGUGAGUGAUGAAGGUCUUCGGAUCGUAAAACUCUGUUAUUAGGGAAGAACAAACGUGUAAGUAACUGUGCACGUCUUGACGGUACCUAAUCAGAAAGCCACGGCUAACUACGUG
rnacentral:rRNA from 1 species